rnacentral:rRNA from 1 species
CCAGACUCCUACGGGAGGCAGCAGUGAGGAAUAUUGGUCAAUGGGCGAGAGCCUGAACCAGCCAAGUCGCGUGAGGGAGUACUGCCCUAUGGGUUGCAAACCUCUUUUGUCAGGGAACAAAGGCGGGGACGUGUCCCCGGAUGAGUGUACCUGAAGAAAAAGCAUCGGCUAACUCCGUGCCAGCAGCCGCGGUAAUACGGAGGAUGCGAGCGUUAUCCGGUUUUAUUGGGUUUAAAGGGUGCGCAGGCGGGCUGUUAAGCCGGCGGUAAAACUUCAGGGCUCAACCCUGUCGAGCCGUCGGAACUGGCAGUCUUGAGUGGGCGAGAAGUAUGCGGAAUGCGUGGUGUAGCGGUGAAAUGCAUAGAUAUCACGCAGAACGCCGAUUGCGAAGGCAGCAUACCGGCGCCCAACUGACGCUGAGGCACGAAAGCGUGGGGAUCGAACAGGAUUAGAUCCCCUAGUA